rnacentral:rRNA from 1 species
AUGGGCAAGGCCGCAAGGGCAGGAGGCCUCCUGGAGGAGAUCCUCGUCUGGGAGGUCCUCGUUCGCCUGCCCCCCAAAGCCCUCCUUAGUUGCCGGGCUGUCUGCCGCGCCUGGCGCAGCGUCACCUCCACCCGAAAAUUUCUCCUCGCACACCACGUCCACCAGCCCGCCCUCCCCCUCCUCGACAACGGCAGUUAUCUAAACCUCGACAACGACUCCAUAGACAUCUGCUGCUUUGACCAUCGGCCAGGGCUGGCCGCCCCUGACCGGCUCCAGUCCGUCGCCUUGUUGAAUCUGGGUCUGGGUGACGAUAUCGCCUACUCUCGUCUCGUUGCCUCCUGUGAUGGCCUCAUCAUCUUCUUCGUCGACGACUUCCACUUGUUCAUCUGCAAUCCGGCAACUCGUGAGCAUGCUCCCCUCCCGCCGCCUCCGAAUCAUCACUGGACGCUCCUCGGAAUGUACCCUCACACCCCGACCGGCGAGUACAGAUUACUGCUCUACUCAUACGACGGUAACCAAGGCAAUGAGCCAGCUCAUGCAUGCCAAGUCUUGUCGUUGGGCUCAGGCCAGCCGCCGAGGAACGUCGGGUGGCCAGAUGCGAUUUCAACUGGAAUUAUGAUGGAAUUAGACCCUCCUGUGCUAUUCCGCGGUAACCUGCAUUGGUUUCCGUCCUGUGAUGACAGCGAAAGCAAGAUGAUAAUGGUGUUCGACACCAUAUCUGAGUUGUUCCGGCAGAUGAGUCCUCCUGUUGUUACUGAUUGCGCUGACCUGUUUGAGAUAGAUGGCAAGCUCGGCAUGGCCAUCUUAGAUCUUGAGACAACCAUUGAUAUUUGGAUGUUGCAAGACUACGAAAAGGAGGUCUGGAUCUUCAAUUGCCGGGUCGAAUUACCGGUUGCGGAAAUCAGGGUGCAAUGCAACAAUUAUGACGGUCGUUUGAAUUUCCAUGUGUUGGUAGUGCCUGGGGAUGGUGAGCUGCUCUUGCUCGUCAAAUUUACCGAUUGGCUACUUCAAGUCGGUAUGGAUGGCAAGUUGGUCUCCACAUUACAUCGCAAAGAAGUCGAUGCUACUUAUCUUCAGCUGAAGCAAACUCUUGUUCCACAUACCUUCUUCCCAACACUAGAGGGUUAUGUUGUGAAUGCUCCGCCAUUCAUCUGA